rnacentral:rRNA from 1 species
UGCAGUAGAACGCUGAAGAGAGGAGCUUGCUCUUCUUGGAUGAGUUGCGAACGGGUGAGUAACGCGUAGGUAACCUGCCUUGUAGCGGGGGAUAACUAUUGGAAACGAUAGCUAAUACCGCAUAACAAUGGAUGACACAUGUCAUUUAUUUGAAAGGGGCAAUUGCUCCACUACAAGAUGGACCUGCGUUGUAUUAGCUAGUAGGUGAGGUAACGGCUCACCUAGGCGACGAUACAUAGCCGACCUGAGAGGGUGAUCGGCCACACUGGGACUGAGACACGGCCCAGACUCCUACGGGAGGCAGCAGUAGGGAAUCUUCGGCAAUGGGGGCAACCCUGACCGAGCAACGCCGCGUGAGUGAAGAAGGUUUUCGGAUCGUAAAGCUCUGUUGUAAGUCAAGAACGAGUGUGAGAGUGGAAAGUUCACACUGUGACGGUAGCUUACCAGAAAGGGACGGCUAACUACGUGCCAGCAGCCGCGGUAAUACGUAGGUCCCGAGCGUUGUCCGGAUUUAUUGGGCGUAAAGCGAGCGCAGGCGGUUUGAUAAGUCUGAAGUUAAAGGCUGUGGCUCAACCAUAGUUCGCUUUGGAAACUGUCAAACUUGAGUGCAGAAGGGGAGAGUGGAAUUCCAUGUGUAGCGGUGAAAUGCGUAGAUAUAUGGAGGAACACCGGUGGCGAAAGCGGCUCUCUGGUCUGUAACUGACGCUGAGGCUCGAAAGCGUGGGGAGCGAACAGGAUUAGAUACCCUGGUAGUCCACGCCGUAAACGAUGAGUGCUAGGUGUUGGAUCCUUUCCGGGAUUCAGUGCCGCAGCUAACGCAUUAAGCACUCCGCCUGGGGAGUACGACCGCAAGGUUGAAACUCAAAGGAAUUGACGGGGGCCCGCACAAGCGGUGGAGCAUGUGGUUUAAUUCGAAGCAACGCGAAGAACCUUACCAGGUCUUGACAUCCCGAUGCUAUUUCUAGAGAUAGAAAGUUACUUCGGUACAUCGGUGACAGGUGGUGCAUGGUUGUCGUCAGCUCGUGUCGUGAGAUGUUGGGUUAAGUCCCGCAACGAGCGCAACCCCUAUUGUUAGUUGCCAUCAUUCAGUUGGGCACUCUAGCGAGACUGCCGGUAAUAAACCGGAGGAAGGUGGGGAUGACGUCAAAUCAUCAUGCCCCUUAUGACCUGGGCUACACACGUGCUACAAUGGUUGGUACAACGAGUUGCGAGUCGGUGACGGCAAGCUAAUCUCUUAAAGCCAAUCUCAGUUCGGAUUGUAGGCUGCAACUCGCCUACAUGAAGUCGGAAUCGCUAGUAAUCGCGGAUCAGCACGCCGCGGUGAAUACGUUCCCGGGCCUUGUACACACCGCCCGUCACACCACGAGAGUUUGUAACACCCGAAGUCGGUGAGGUAACCUUUGGAGCCAGCCG